GCCUAAAAUCACGCACUCUAUGCAUUUUAAUGUCCGAGAAACGGUUGAUUGGAACCAGCGUACUCUAUGGAAGAUCAUUUUCACAGCGUUUGUAAAAAAGGAUGGUUUUCGGUCAAAAAGAUUUCCAUAACAGCCUCUUCCGGUUCACAUCGCUCAAGAUGUGAUCGCGCGUUUGACUCAUGUUGCUAGGAAACGUGAGCGUAACCAAUCAGAGGCGUUUCUAAAAAUAACUGCUUGUUCUAAAAAUAGCUUCCACGGACGUCAUCAUUGGAACAUACCCUAAUACGGGGGAUUCGUUCUCUUACAUCAUGGUCUCUUGAUUGCAAUCGAUAAUUACCUUGCUCGUCAUUCUGAACUCCUCCAUUGGCCAAAAACUUACCGCGAAGCUGAUUCUACAACAAGAGAGCCUCGAAACAUUAAAGAACAGUAUCCUGUACGCCUCGAACUCCGCCGAAAGAGAAUGCCGACAAAAUUUAAAGCCAGUAAAUGGAACUGCUCUUGUUUGGGCCCGUCCAGUGGUGCAAACACACGGAAAGGAUGUUUUAAGACAAGCGCAUGUAGACAAGUUUGUUGGUAUUGAGAAGAGAUUUUUACGAAGAUGGGAAGAGACCAGGGUAAUGUUUGAGCCUACGUGGUGUCUUUUAACUACAUCUACGCCCCUACUGGUCAUUUUCAGAAGAAUGUAAAAAAGGAAGGCUGAUAUUAGAUAAAGUUUUAUUAGAAAUAAUAGAGAUGGGGUCUUUAUGAGCUUUUAAGGAAAUCAGAGGGUGACAAAUACUAUGGUGCUCUCUAAACAUUUUUUUGUCUUAAUUAAGUUUACGAAUCUAAAAUGUUAUUCAUCAAUUUUCGGCAGUACAAUGCUUGUCACUUCCAUUCAGGCGUGCAAGUUAUUUCUUAUCAAAUACGUUAUAUUAAUCAAGCCUACCGUCGUUGGUAUUAUUUUGAAAGUUAGUUUUUUUUUCUCCAAUAGCCCGUUUAUUAUAACACAAAAGCUAAGACGUUGGCAAAUAUUUUCAAUUCACAGAAAGAUGUCAGUUUGGCAAAUUUUCUUAUACCCAGCCGACAUUAAUCAAUGAAUUUAUGGAUAAAUGCGUAUCGUGACGAAACAGUCAUGGUUGCAUGAGUUUGGAGUAUAAUAAAUGAUAUCAUCCUCAGACGACAACGCACAAAAAUGCUCUAAGCACAAGCCAAAGUCACCCUAAACUCCAAGGCAGCACAGAAUGGCACUUAGCAGGAUACUCAAACAUUUGGCUUUCCAUUGGCAAUUACUUUUGCUUCUGAUGAUCUUGUUUUGGACCAAGAUAUCAGCUUGCAUAUCAGACCAAGAAUGCGCAUACGGGAGCCGUUGUGUAAGCAACUCAUGCCAAGAAAACAUCUCAAAAUCGACCCAAAUGAUUAUUAGUGGCACAAUAUUGCUAAUCCUUCUAUGCUGUUGUUUGGUAUCUUGCCUGUGUCGAUUCAAAAGACGUCGGCGUAGAAGACGUAAUAAUCCCGUAACUCGCGGGAAUCCCGAACAGUCUUAUCAGGCUGAUAACAUUUCUGUUGACAUUCCAGAUGAUCUCCUAGAGGAGGUAAAGAGUAGUAGUGUGAGGAAUUCCGCGGGCCCCCCGCCUUAUUUGUACUUAUUCCAAAAAGGCUAUGGCCAGGACGACGAUGUCCAUAAUAGGAAGAAGCGACUGGAUGUCGUGGAGCUGGAUUUUGGACUCGGGAAAGAAGCGGAGGAAUCUCCUCCAAGUUAUGCCGACGUGUGUAUUAGUGGUAGUAUUGGUGUUGCAAACGAAGCGGCUGAUAGCACAUGAGGUUUGGUUGGACUAUGAAACUGUAGUUCUCCGAUGGUACGGAAUAGGUGAUAUAAAGAGGGAUGUACACGGAUAAGUUUUCAAAAAUUCAUAAGAAAGCUCAUGAAGCUAUCAAGCUACAAUGAAUUUAAGGGGCGCUAAGGAACCACUUGGGAAACGUAACAUAUCUAACAUUGGCAAUCCAUAGUCACACGGCUAAACACAAACAGGGCACGAGGCACUAGGGUGUAUCUCUCUCUCAGGGGCGGAUCUAGCUUUUCGCUAAAAGGGGGAGCUGGCUCAGUGACUCAGGGGGGAGGGGGUAAUGUUUUUGUUACAUUUGGCUUUCUGGCAGCCCAAAGGGGGGGGGGGUUUAACCCCCUAAACCCUCCCUCUAGGUCCGAUACAGUCUUUUCUUCUGUUGUUGGCGCUCGUUAAGGAGUUGUUGCCAUCUUGGCGGUUGGGCAACGACUAAAAUAAUGUGCAUUUUGGCAUCCAGUACUUUACAUUCGAUUUGAGGUUUUCCGUUCAUGCACUUCUCUUAAAGGGCGCAACGCAUUUCGAAGUGGGACCUGAUUACCGAUUGCACAACAAUGAGAAGACUUAACAAGUAAGAUAAGAUAAUUGCGUCUGAUCUGUGUUGAGCAAUUACAUUCUAACUCAGCAUGCAACCAUACCUUUUUCUCAUAAGCCAUAUUACAAAAAAAAGUCUUAACACUAAAAUCUGUUUUAUGCUUAACUUAUGCUGUAAUUGUUAUGCCCAAUCAAAUUUUUAUUAUUCACACAUACAUUUUUGACAAGCCAGGGUGCAUUUUCAUUCCAUGCCUUUUUCACGGACACUUCUUAGCCGGACUGUCGACCGUGUAGUGGGAUCAGUACUGUGUUCAUUAACGGGUUCUUUGGUAUUAUAUUCGGUAAUUAUACUUUAGGUAAACAUUUUCCUUGUAACUUACAUAUUUUGAUGCUUUUGUUUACACAAAGAUUGGCUUCUUGUAUUCUGUAGAUGGAUGUGAUUGAAGAAACGCAUAUUAUCCGAUACGAGGGCCAAAUGUUAUUAGUUAUUUUUUUCUAAAUUACAAUUUGGAUUAUGUUGUC